AUGGGUGGUCAUUUCUGCCUCCUUGUUUCUUUUUGCUUGGUCGCCAUUCUUUUCACCCAUGCACCACUAGCGGCUACUCGUCAACUUAAAUCUAAGUCAGAUGAUUUCACAAAAGAAUCUUUAGAGUAUAUUCCACUUGACUAUCAUGAUAUAGCUCCAACUCCCGCCACCCCCGUUACACCAGCACCGCCAUGCAUAGGUUGUCGUUCCUCUACGGAUCAGGAAAAGCCAGCUACUGCACAACAUUCACAAGUCAGUGAAGAUAUGUCGCCAUCACAUGAAAAGGAGAAAAAUAAGGCGACACAAAAACAUGUGUCAUUUUAA
rnacentral:rRNA from 1 species